rnacentral:lncRNA from 1 species
ACAGAUCAGCUGGUCAAGCUUCCACGUCUCUUCUUGUCUUUGAAGACAGUCAUCAUCCUCGACCACUGAAUUUCUGAGGUGAGUGAGUAGCAAACCAGGAUUACAUCUCAGCUGUGUCUACUGUUUGUUUUUCUUAUAUCACUGCACACUAAUAAUUAAUGACUCUUCCAUGGUUUUCAGGAAUAUUUUACUGUGUAAAAAGCACAUACCUAGUGUACCGAAUGAAUUUGAUCCCAUUGAACUCUACUUCCCUUUAUUUGCUCCUUAUGAUAUAUUCUUUAGAGUCAGAUGGAUCCCCUUAUGCUGAUUGCCAGGGGUUCCCCAUUUGUUUUCUAUUGAUGACUCAUUAUCAGAUUUGCUCAGUUUAUGAGUAAAGAGAUUAUUUUUCUAAGUGAGAAUUCAGCCUAGGCCCUGGAAGACAAGCUGAGCACCCUUCUGCUUCUCACAUUAUCACCACUAAUAAAGAAUCUGCAGUGGGGGACUCAGCUGACAACUUUGUCAAUGAUGCAUGAAGCAGGCUAGAAUCUAGUUGCACUUUCACAGCUGCAGGGGAGCUACAAUAGGAACUGAAGCAUGUUUGUUGUUGGCCUUUUUUUCCAUCACUAAAACAGAGUGGGACAGGAUGACUCAAUAGAAGCCAAGAUAUUGAAGCUAUUUAAGUACCUUUAAGAGAAAUGAAUUAUUUGUUCUAUGAAAAAAGGUCAAAACCUUAACUGUCAUAAGAGUAAAAAAUAAUAUACUGGCAAAAAGAAAACUGCAAACCAACAAGCCCUGCCUCAGAAUUGGUAGUGACUGCCACACAAGGAGAUGGUACAUAGAAGGUGAAGAAAAAAAACCAACAACAAAUGAGAUGUUUCACUUCUUCCUUAGGGAGAUGAACAAGAAUUUGCAGUUCACCUCUCUCUACACUGGGGGAAUGACACAGAAGAAGCACCACUCCUGGUUCCACAGAUGCUGUAACAAGGACUCCGGUGUAUCACUUGGUAAGGAGCAUGUCAGCCUAGAGUGGCUAUUUUCUGACCUGGCCUUAUCCAGAAUGACAGAUUAUUCAGUUGGGAUUUCUCAGAAGAGUCAUCUCUGUUCUCUCAUUUCUUUCCAUCUUUACAUGUCUAUGGAGGGCUCUCUUGAUGCUUUUUCCUUUAUAGAGCUUCAGGUUUUUAACCCUGAUUAA